AUGAUACUGGAUUUGAAUAUUAAAGUGACUGCAUUUACCAGCUGCUUUCUGUCUUUAAUUUUAAUCUAUAAAAACAGAAAAUCAUUCGUCUUGGCUGCUUUUUUUGUAUGUGUGUAUGUAUUCAUGUAUUUAUUAUUAUUAUUAUUAUUAAUAUUAUUAUUAUUUUGCUCUAACAAGAAUCAUUUAAUAUUUGUAAUCAUUCAAAAAAUAUUGGCCCCUUUCAUAAUGUUGUUCAGAAAUGACGGCCACAUGCUAAUGUUUUCCACACGAUGGCGCCACAGGAUAGCAAAUACUUCAAGAUCUGUUCAAAGACUUGGAAAUGUCUCAUUUAUGUGCAUAAAAAAAUGCAUAUACAUUCAUUUUUUUUUCACAAACUUUAAUAAAGCCCAAUAUAGUAAUUAUGCAAAAACUAUCAUCUCCUAAAUACCAUUAUAUUUUAUCUUAUUUUAAUAGUAUUGACAACAUAUUUCUCAAGUUAUCACACAUUACUGAGAAAGUGAAGAAGGGACACUAUAUUUGUUAUCUAUUUUCAUGUUGUGCAUAUAAAAAUUUACUUGAAAAGAGACACGUCCAUUGUGUAACUGCAUCAUCUACACAAACCAUUGUGCUUGGACCCCUUAUGAUCACACUUAAACCACAUUGUUUCAGUUACCUUCUGUGUCUUUGCCCACAACGCUUCAAUGACAGGAAUGUGAAAUAGCAAACAGGGGAAAAAACUUUAUUUGCAUCCAGCUAGCCAACUGUAUUACAGAUGUUCCAUAGCCAAGACUUUUAUUAGAAUAGAAAAUAGCAAGGGUUCAAAUAAAUAGAUUAUUAAUCAUUUAAUUUCAGUUUCUUAAUGAAUAUUGUUCUGUGUGUGUGAUUUCAAAGUCUUGAUGGUUCGGAUUAACCCUUUAAUUGCCGUAUCCCUUAAAACCUGACUGCCAGAGGGUUACUGUAAAUGCAUGUGCCCGCUGGGCACAGUUUACCUGAUGCCACCGGGGUGGCGUUUGCGCUGAUGGCUUGAGCCCGCCAUCGCUGCUUGCAGCUAUAUUUAUUAUUAUUUUUUAUUUUUUUUUUAACCUCUCGGGGGCUUUUUGGAGGCCCUUAACAUGCUCAAAAAAACUCUUGAAAAAUUGGCACACACAUUGGAACCUGCGGCCAUUAGGGCCGGGCAGAGACUGAUACACGGGCGUGGCACAGGGGCUCUACAGCGCCCCCUGGAACAUGGAGGGCCAUAUAUCAUACAUACUUGCACGUAGACUUAUGAAACUCGGUACACAUAUAGAUCUCAUCAAUCCAAACAGCUUUCGUAUUGCAUGUCAUAGGCUCCGCCCAACAGGAAGUUGGCAAUUUAGGGUUUAGUAUUCUUAUUUUUCGUCAAAGUUGUGGGGGCUUUUGGGGCCCUUAACAUACUCAAAAACUCUUGAAAAUUUGCACACACCUAGGAAUCUGUGGCCAUUAGGAGGCCACAGAGGCUGAGACCCGGGCGUGGCACAGGGGCUCUAUGGCGCCCCCUGGAACAAAGCCAGAAAUGUUGAUGUAUAGCUCACACAUACUUGCACAUAUUCAUAUGAAACUCAUUACACAUAUAGAUCUCAUUGAGCCAAACAACUUUCAUAUUGCAUGUCAUAGGCUCCGCCCAACAGGAAGUCAGCUAUUUAGAGCUGUGUAAAAAAAGCGCAUGCUCUGGAAUUUGAUAUACUUGUCAUGAGGUUUUUCUACCCGAUUGCCACCAAACUUGGUGAACAUGAUCUCAAGACAUUGGGGAUGCAAAAA
ensembl:lncRNA